CUCUCUCUCUCUCUCUCUCUUAUCUCCCGGGAAACCUGCUGCGCCCUGCGCUGUCCACACCAAGAUUAGAGGGAAGGACUGGCGCUGGGAGGAUUGUAACACCACGGUCUCCAGGCGCUCGGCACAUAACCAAUAUUCACCCAGAGGCCACAACUAUCGUUGCCGUUUCGACUGUAACACCAGUGUUGCGCUAGUGUAUAAUAUGUUAUAUACGUUAUGUUAUUCUAGGGAAAUUGUAUUUUCAUAGCUAGGGCUGACAGUGAAGACCUGCGAAGAGCAGAAUCACAACCUCUGCAUCAUCAAAACAGUUGCUUGGUGAGAAGCUGAGAAGUCCACAGAUAGUCAUUGUUAUGUAAACACCAGCUGAAAAGUACCAGCGGCCUGGCUUUGGCCCCAAGUGAGAGCAGGUCCACCAGAGCCAUGGCCCAGUGAGACACGGGUUCGGGCCCGCGUAGUUGGAAACAGAAAAGUCUGAGCCUUUUGGGUCAAACACUGGGGUAAAUCUUGAAUGUACAUGCGCCAUUGAUGUACCACUGAAUAUGCUUAAUAAGGAAGACUUGAGACUCGGAAGUGGUUCCUUACAAAAUGACUCAUCACAUUAUGAAAUGUGUGUAUGUGUGCACACAAACACACGUGUGAAGUACUCGAUCAGAGAAGUGUCAGCCUGGCAGCUUCACUAUACUACUAGAGAUGUCUGGAAUAACAGCAAACAAACUAUGCCAUACCAGCUACUAGCAGUGAAUAGCACAACUCCAGCGGGCUGAAUUGGGUGCAAAUGAUCUCCUUACAACCAGAUGAUGUCAUUGUAUCGGUGUCGUUUAUUUCCCCAAGUGUAAUUAUCAUUUAUUAUUUAUGCCUGCCUUGACCUCGAGCCUGCCUGCCUUGACCUCGAGCCUGCCUGCCUUGACCUCGAGCCUGCCUGCCUUGACCUCGAGCCUGCCUGCCUUGACCUCGAGCCUGCCUGCCUUGACCUCGAGCCUGCCUGCCUUGACCUCGAGCCUGCCUGCCUUGACCUCGAGCCUGCCUGCCUUGACCUCGAGCCUGCCUGCCUUGACCUCGAGCCUGCCUGCCUUGACCUCGAGCCUGCCUGCCUUGACCUCGAGCCUGCCUGCCUUGACCUCGAGCCUGCCUGCCUUGACCUCGAGCGUGCCUGCCGCCCUUUGGUAUCUACUGGACUCUGAACUGGUUUUGACCUUUUGCCUGUACACAACUAUUCUCUUGCCUACCCCUUUUUGGAUUAAUAAACAUCUAAGACUCCAACCAUCUGCAUCUGGGUCUCGCCUUGUGCCCUCAUAGUAUGUGAAUUUGUCGGGUCGGCCCACAAAGCUACGUACCAGACAUUUAUUAAAGAGCGUCUGAACGCAGCGAUUCUGUGUUUCUCUACUACUCAUUAAGAAAAACUAGACUUCAGUCUUGAGGGUGUGGUUCGAUGUGGCAGUUACUGAUGUUUGUCCCCCAUGAGACCAUAGGAAGAAAGCCGGUAUUACCUCCUCAAAGUAGUCAGAAGUCAUUUAAGAUUUUCAAAAAAAUGUAUGGUGUAAUUUUACAUCCGGCUAAGUUGUUCGGUGCAGUAUUUCUCAAGUUAAAAAAAGGUGUUGUCUUGUGUAAACAAAGUCAGAUUUGCUGCUCUGAUGGGCAGGUCUGCCUCACUGCAGUAUGUGUGUGAUCUGCGGUAGGAUUGGAUAGAUGUCUAUCUCGUGUCAAUGGUCAAAUGAGCAUCGUUGAAAUCCAAACCCAACCCUCAAGUAAGUCAUAUGAUGAACUCUAUUACAAAACUCAGGUUUGGAUGAGACCGACUUGAAAAACCAAACGAUCCUAUUUACACUUCGUAGUAAAUUUUGAAACUAGAAAAAAAAAAUCUGACUAGCAUGGAUGGCGCAUAGGCCGUUUGCUAUGAGAGAAGUUGCUUAUUGCCUUUAAAAACCCAGUCAGUAUCAUCACACUAUGGAAAUGACUGAUCAAGGGAUUGACUAUGAAUAAUCCCAAAUCAAAUCAAAUCGUAUUUGUUACGAACACAAUUGACAGCAGGUAUAAAAGGUGCAGCAAAAUGCUUGUGUUCUGGGUCCCUCAACAGUGCAGUAUAUUAAUCAUUUCGAGUUGAGGUACUAUGCAUAGUAAUAGCCUCAUCAUGUAUGUACACUAUAGGAUACAGUAUAGAUAAUGAUUUAACUCCCCAUCUCUGUGUCAUACUGAUUCCCCCUCUCUGACUUCACUCUUUAUUUCUCUCUUUCUAUUUCUCCGUAUGCUACACUUUCUAUUCCUUAACUCCGUCUUUCCUCUUCUCUCCCACUUCCGUGUUAAUCUCUCGCCCUUCUCCUUGCAGACUAGAUAAGGGGGGCCAGCCUGCUUCAAGGUGACGCAACAAAAAUCCAAUGAACUUAUCCUCUGCAGCAGAGGUAACUCUGAGUUUUCCUUUCCUGUGGCGGUCCUCAUGAGAGCCAGUUUCAUCAUAGCGCUUAAUGGUUUUUGCGACUGCACUUGGAGAAACUUUCAAAGUUCUUGAACAUUUCCUGAUUGACUGACCUUCAUGUCAUAAAGUAAUGAUGGGACUGUCAUUUCUCUUUGCUCCUUGCUCUUGCCAUAAUUUGGACUUGGUGUUUUACCAAAUAGGGCUAUCUUCUGUUUACCCCCCUACCUUGUCACAACACAACUAAUUGGCUCAAACAUAUUAAUAAAUAAAUAAAUUCCAUUAACAAGCUACACCUGUUAAUUGAAAUGCAUUCCAGGUGACUACCUCGUGAAGCUGGUUGAGAGAAUGCAAAGCUGUCAAAUGGUGGCUACUUUGAAGAAUCUCAAAUAUAAAAUAUGUUUUGAUUUGAUGAACACUUUAUUGGUUACUACAUGAUUCCAUAUGUGUUAUUUCAUCGUUUUGAUGUCUUUUUUGAUGUCAAUUUUAUUCUACAAUGUAGAAAAUAGUACAAAUAAAGAAAAACCCUGGAAUGAGUAGGUGUGUCAAAACAUUUGACUGGUACUGUCUAUAUUUGUCACACCCUGACCUUAGAGAGACGUAUUAUUUCUCUAUUUGGUUAGGUCAGGGUGUGAUGUUGGGUGGGCAUUCUAUGUUUUGUUAUCUAUGUUUCUUUAUUUCUUUGUUUUGGCCGGGUAUGGUUCUCAAUCAGGGACAGCUGUCUAUUGUAGUCUCUGAUUGGGAAUCAUACUUAGGUAGCACUUUUUCCCUCCUUUCAGUGUGGGUAGUUAACUUUGUUUGUGACACUUAGCCCUGAAAGCUUCACGGUUGUUUUUCAUUUGUUGUUUUGUUGGCGACAUUAUCUAAUAAAAAGGGAAAAGUACGCUCACAAUGCUGUGUUUUGGUCCACUUCUUUCGACGGCCGUGACAGUGUCUGUCCUCUACCCACCACCAAAGGACCAAGCAGCGUGGUCAGGAGGGGAGGACAUGACGGAAACCUGAGAGGCAGCCCCAAAAUAUUUUAUUUGGUGGGGAGUGGUUGGCAGUGGAGAGGGACGAAAGAGUUUGGAGGGGUUGGAGGCUGGAGCAAGACAGUCGCUUUGAGGAGCGUGUGACCCUUCAGACACCAUGCUUUGCGGUUACACGUCACCGGUACGCAUCCACAGCCCAGUACGUCCUAUGCCAACCACUAUGGCACGAAGCCUUCAGUGAUGAUCCAUGGCACGAAGCCUCCAGUGAUGAUCCAUGGCACGAAGCCUCCAGUGAUGAUCCAUGGCAUGAAGCCUCCAGUGAUGAUCCGUGGAAAGAAGCCUCCAGUGCAGAACCAUGGCAAGAAGCCUCCAGUGAUGAUCCAUGACACAAAGCCUCCAACGACGGCCUCCAGUCCGGAGCCUCCAACGACGGCCUCCAGUCCGGAGCCUCCAGCGAGGGUGCCCAGUCUGAGGUCGGCAGCGAGAGUCCCCACACCAGAGGCGCCACUAAAUCAGGGUGAGCCAGAGGUGGAGCGGGGUCUACGUCCCGCACCAGAGCCGCCACGGCGGAUAAAUGCCCACCCGGACCCUCCCCUAUAGGUUCAGGCUCAGGGGGGUGGGGUGCUGUCACGCCCUGACCUUAGAGAGCCGUUUUAUUUAUCUAUUUGGUUAGGUCAGGGUGUGAUGUGGGGUGGGCAUUCUAUGUUUUGUUUUCUUUAUUUCUAUGUUUUGGCUGGGUGUGCUUCUCAAUCAGGGACAGCUGUCUAUCAUUGUCUAUGAUCGGGAAUCAUACUUAGGUAGCCUUUUUUCCCUCCUUUCAGUGUGGGUAGUUAACUUUGUUUGUGGCACUUAGCCCUGAAAGCUUCACGGUUGUUUUCUCAUUUGUUGUUUUGUUGGCGUCAUUUUUAUAAUAAAAGGAAAAUUAACGCUCGCCACGCUGCACCUUGGUCCACUUCUUUCAACAGCAGUGACAAUAUUUCUAUAAAUAAUGGCCCUACAUUAAAAUUCCACAGAAAGACAAGUGUUAGAUCUUAUUGAAUCUGGCAGCUCCCUCUGCCUCUCUCUAGUCUCCACUAUGACCUCUAAAGAGUUACCCUCUAUGAACAGUGAAUGAAGCCCACCUUGUCCUCAUAGGGCUGACUCACUAUGCGUCAUCAACACUAUUCAUUUUACAGUGCACUACUUUAGACCAGGCUGUGGGAAUAGGGUGCUAUUUGGGACGCGGACAGAGUCUGCUACCAUGGUUCCUCUCAGAGUUGUUCUGAUUGGCCAGGUUCAGACAGUGCAAUGACACCAUUUUCAGUUUUUCACUCUAUUACACAGAGCCAAACAACACCGAGCUCACUUGGGUAUUUACUUACCAUACUGUCCUUUCCAGCACGGUCCCAGCAACUAUGGUGGAUGGGUAACCAUGCCAGUUUGGCUCAGUUCAACUCUGCUCUGUAGUGUGAAAAUGGUAUAAGUGAGACGG